rnacentral:tRNA from 1 species
GUCUGGUUGGCUCAGUUGGUAGAGCGUCGGUCUCAUAUUCAAUAUGACUUCCACACAGUGGCAGCAAUCCGAAGAUCGUGAGUUCGAGCCUCACACCGGACA